rnacentral:siRNA from 1 species
CCCUUCUCCUGUUGGUUUUCCUG